rnacentral:rRNA from 1 species
GGAGUCUGGUCCGUGUCUCAGUACCAGUGUGGGGGACCUUCCUCUCAGAACCCCUACUGAUCGUAGCCUUGGUGGGCCGUUACCCCGCCAACAAGCUAAUCAGACGCAUCCCCAUCCCAUACCGACGAGUCUUUGUUCCUCAUAAGAUGCCCAACAAGGAAAACAUAGAGUAUUAAUUCGACUUUCGCCGGGCUAUCCUCUACUAAGGGGAAGGUUGGAUACGCGUUACUCACCCGUGCGCCGGUCGUCAGCAAGAAAAGACAAGCUUCUCUCCUGUUACCCCUCGACUUGCAUGUGUUAAGCCUGUAGCUAGCGUUCAUC